AGGGAAGAAGAAGAAGAAGAAGAGGAACAACAGCAACAACAAAAAAGACAGCAAGAAAAAAAAAGGGAAGAAAGGAAACAAAAAGAACACCAAGAUAGGAAAGAGAGUCCUCACCCCAGAAGAGUCCAUGGAUCGCUACAGGCGCGUCUUGGUAGCAGUGAAAAAGGGCAUGACAAAAACUGAGGCAUACGUCAAAGUCGGGGUUGACCGAAAAACGGUAGCAGCAACGGCCGCCAUUUCGGAGCUACACGCUGUUGACAAGGACCUGUAUGACCAGCUGAGGGCAUCAAUGCCCAAGGGAGAGACACUUUAUCUUUUUUCGGCAAAAUGUAACCUAGAAAUUCUUGGCAGGAACCUUCAGGAUAAGGUGAAUGAAAAAAAAAAGCAACGGGGAACUUUUGCAAAUUGGACACCGGGCAUAGUAAAGAAGAGAGCAGGUUUUUGUUUUGUUUUUAGGGUGCCUUUUUUUUGUUCCAUUUUAAAAUGCCCUUUUUUUUGGUUGAUUUGUUCAGUGACAUCGAGAAAUGCCUUGUUAAAAGUGCAGCCUUUGUUUUUGUUCCCAUUUAAAAUGCCUUUUUUUGUUUCUGUUUGUGUUUUAAAUUGUUAAUAUUGUCUGUAUUACCCCGUUAUUAUGUUAUUAUUAUGUUAUAAAUGUUUAACUUAAG